rnacentral:rRNA from 1 species
AUGAUGAACCCGGAGAUGAUGCGGGUGGCGGAGGAGCAGAUGCGACGCAUACCCGCCGGCGACCUCGCCAGGAUGCAGCGGCAGCUCAUGUCCAACCCGGACCUGCUGAAGCUCGCAACCGAGAGAAUGAAGAACAUGACAGCCGAGGACUUCAAGCUCGCCGCCGAGCGCCUGAACCACGCGAGGCCAGAGGAGAUGCUCGACAUGACCGAGAAAAUCGCCAAGGCCAAGCCCGAGGAGCUCGCCGCCAUGAAGGCGCAAGCCGACGAUCAUGCCUCGUACGCGAUGUCCGCCGCCAAGAUGCUGAAGCGGCAGGGGAACCAGCUCCAUGGCCGCGGGCAGUACGCCGACGCCGCCGCCAAGUACAAGCUCGCCAGGGAUAGCGUGAAGAACAGCGUGCCGUCGGCGGCCGGGCGCGCUCUGCAGCUGCAGUGCAGCGUCAAUCUGAUGGCCUGUUACCUGAAGCUAGGCGAGUUCGAGGAGUGCGUCAACGAAGGCUCGGAGGUUCUAAGCUAUGACUCGGGCACUGCCAAGGCGUACUAUCGAAGGGGUCAGGCGUACAAAGAGCUGGGAAACCUCCAGGCUGCCGUUGCUGACUUGAGUAAAGCCCGUGAGAUUUCUCCGGACGAUGAAACUGUCGCUCAAGCUCUGACAGAGGUGCAAGAAAAACUUUCAACCGAAGGCGGAGCGGCAGCAAACCAGCCGAAGGAAGUUGUUAUUGAAGAAGUUGUAGAAGAAGAUGUUAGUUCUGAUCUGUCAAGCGCACAAAAGAAUUCUUCUUCUUCUACUGCUACACAACCACAGGACGGAGCACAAAACUCGACACAACCUGAUUCUUCAGAAAGCUUGGUAAAUAUGUCUCGGGCUGCCUCUUCAUCAAGCAGAACAAUCCCUGUUGCUCCAGAUUUUGGAUCCAAUAUGCCAGCAAUUUCACCUGACAUGGUUAGUAUGGCAAACCCUGCUAUGUGGGAGAUGUUUACCUCCAUGGUGGAGAACAUGAGUCCUGAUGAGAUGGCAAACAUGAGUGAGCUGUUCGGUAUCAAGAUGUCCAAGGAGGAUGCUGCCAACGCUCAACAGGCUAUGUUUUCAUUCUCUCCACAAGAUUUAGAGAAAAUGAUGAAAUGGAUCGGCAGAGCGCAGCGAGGAGUCGAAGCAGCAAAGAAGACGAAGGACUGGCUCUUGGGCAGGAAAGGCUUCAUCUUUGCUAUUGUCAUGCUGAUCUUGGCGUUCAUCCUCCAUCGGCUUGGAUUCAUCGGGUAG